AUGGGAUUUUAGGCUCUUUAGCCCAGCCAACAGACAAUCAAAAUGCAGAGAGCGUGUUCUUGAGUCAAGCAACAAGUGGUAAUUCAGGUUCUAAAAAGUUCUAUUCUAAUGGGAACAAGAAACCUGUUUGCACUCAUUGUGGAUUUAAUGGACACACAGCUGAAAAAUGUUACAAAAAACAUGGGUACCCUCCCGGUUGGAGGCCAAGAAGUAGGAAUGCAGGGGCAGCCAAUCAGUUCCAAAUAGCUGCCCAGA